UUUUUGCGUGAGCGAUGGCAGUGGAGCUCUUUUUCUUCUUACUCUAGCCUGCCAAUAAAAGGCAGGCGAGAGUAAGAAGAAAAAAGCGGGAACGUACAGCGCGACCCGAA
rnacentral:sRNA from 1 species